rnacentral:rRNA from 1 species
GAUGAACGCUAGCGGCAGGCCUAACACAUGCAAGUCGAGGGAGAAGCCCUUUCGGGGGCAGAAACCGGCGCACGGGUGCGUAACGCGUAUGCAACCUACCUUUCACAGGGGGCUAGCCCGAAGAAAUUUGGAUUAAUACCCCAUAAUAUUAUUGGAUGGCAUCAUUUGAUAAUUAAAACUGCGGUGGUGAAAGAUGGGCAUGCGUCCUAUUAGCUAGUUGGAGUGGUAACGGCACCCCAAGGCUACGAUAGGUAGGGGUCCUGAGAGGGAGAUCCCCCACACUGGUACUGAGACAGGGACCAGACUCCUACGGGAGGCAGCAGUGAGGAAUAUUGGUCAAUGGUCGGAAGACUGAACCAGCCAUGCCGCGUGCAGGAAGAAUGCCUUAUGGGUUGUAAACUGCUUUUAUAUGGGAAGAAUAAGGCGUACGUGUACGUUGAUGACGGUACCAUAUGAAUAAGCAUCGGCUAACUCCGUG